rnacentral:rRNA from 1 species
AUGCAUAAGUUUGAAAACCAGAUUUGCUCGUCCUGGUUUGCUCCGGUUGGCUCUUCCAGUGAUUACCUGCUUCUGUCGAAAUGGCCCAUUUAUGGAGAACUUCCAAUGGAUCCGAACACUCCAACAUCAUUUCACCUGUCUACUCUUUGUGGGCUACAUUCAUUGGUCUUUACAUGGCCAAUUAUGUCGUGA